GUGUAAUUGGAAUUAGGGAGGGUGGGAUUGAUGGAAGAUGGGGUCGUGGAGGAUAGCUUACUAGGAGACUACAGGGGUGAUAAGCAAAUGGAAGGUGGGUAAGACGGAGACAGAAAAAGACGCGUUGGCUUGGGACCUGAGUCCUGAGUCCAGGCAGCGCCGGCUUGUCUGGGGUAACGCCUCCCAGCUCCUUCUAACUAGCUCUUGGCUUGCCUCGUAGUUUGACUUCUCUUUUCUUUUCUUCAUACCGUUGGCUGCGUUUUCUUUUCCAGCUACGAACAACCAACUUGAAGCCAAGAUUGGUUUUUACUGGUUUGCAAGCGGAUUCGAUGUCUAGUGAGAUGAGACUCUUUUUAUAAAUCAACAGUAAAUACAGACUUCAAUAAGCAACUAUCAGACUAUCAUCACCACAAAGUCA